rnacentral:lncRNA from 1 species
GUCGCUUCACAUCCCGAAUCCUUUGAAUAGUACUAACAACAUGGAGCACAUGAUAAACACCAACAGGAAAGAACUUCAGGAUGCCUUUCCAUAAUGACAUAGCUCAUUCCUGCUUGUAUCUCCAUCCCGUGGUGUUUGGGGACUUCCUCUGAGUUUCACCAAAAAAAGCUUGAGUCUACACAAGAAGAAUAACAUUGACUACAAUCAUCAAUAAAUGGAAAAAAAUAAAAAAAAUGAGAUCGUAGCAUCACAAUUUAUCCCAUCAAAGAUAAGGAACGUAUGCGUAAACAUCAUUUCCAUCAGUUGGACCACAAUGAUGUGGCCGAUGAAAAAAAGAACAACAUACUUUGGAGAAGUAAGCAAUUAGCAAUACUUCCCUUGUUUGUGUUUAGGAAUAGAGUUGAUGCUAAUAGAAGUAUGCUGAAAAGGGUUUAAGUGCCUAAACUACAGAAUAGAAAGAUCUAAUUUUUACUUGGGCAUUUUGCAAUAUCCGACUAGCAAAAUCAGCAAUCUGUGAUAGUUUGCAAUGAGGUCAAUUUCAACUUUACAAAUCCAAUGCUGCAUACAUGAGAACUGAGCUUAUCAAAUCAGAAACCUAAACAUUCGAAGGAUAUUAUCACACCAUAAACUAUUAGAAUGGAGGAGAUUGUCAUCAUGCAUACACGUAUUCUGUUUUCAAGUGAAAUUCCUCAGCACGUAUAGUAUAAG